rnacentral:lncRNA from 1 species
AUUUUAGCUCACAGCUUGUAGAAGUUUCAGUCCAUAGCUGGCUGACUUCAAGGCAGGGUGGCAUGGCUAAAGGGCAUGGCAGAGGAGAAACAGUCUAUGGCAGAGCAGGCAGUAGGCAGGAGGCAGCAAAGAAGAAGCUGUCCUUCUAUUCUCUUUUUAUUACAUUCAGGCUUAACAAACCUAUUUGUUGGUGCCACUCACACCCAAGGUGGGUUUUCUGUCUUCAGUAAAUCAACUCAGCCGCACUCAGAACUGUUAAUGCAAAGGGGCCUAAUGAAGUUAUCAUACUCUUAAUCCAGUAUCAUACAGCUAUGAUCCAGCCACCUCCCAAAAGCCACAGCUAUGAGCACAUGAGGCUCUGGGUUGGUGGGGCAUCUAGAUAUAAGCCAUAACAAUAGAACUAUCUAACUUUGAUAGAAUCAUUUUUAACUUUGGCAGGUUAGGUAAAUAAUAUUCUUGAGAUCUCUAAGGUGGGGUGUCUCAUUAGGCAAAGAUUUGAACAAGAUUCAGUAGUUGAGUCUGCUAAGGAACUUUAUUAUCCCUUUCUUUGAAUUGCCAAAGACCUGCAAUAGGCUCAUAUGAGAAGGAGGAUAUGAGACCAACACUUUACACAGGCCAAGGCAACACUUUGUCAGUAAUGAUUAUUGGUCAGAAAUAAUACAUGUUUUAUUGUCUUGCAGUAUAUCACACUGUGCACUUGGCACUUAAAUGGAAGUUUUCUUCCAGCUCCUGGUAAGGGAGUACCAGGGCUGGAAAAUAUGACAUUAAAAGUCAGUUUCAGAAGACUGAAAGUGUCACACGGAAUGUAAUUGGUGCAUCUCCUGCUUUUCUUUCUCGAUCCCAGAGAUUUGUACCUAUGAAAUCAAUCACCCCAGCUCCUGGUACAUACAAUGAACCUCGAACUGCUUUCAAGACUUCAAAGAAAACACCAGGAUUGAAAAAUACUCCCUUUGGUCAAAGUGCUGCUCGAUUCACACAGGACUCCAUGGCAGAGGAAAUGCCAGGGAUCGAAUCAGGACUUUACACUUGCGAGGCAGACGGCGGAUCCACUGAGCUAAAUCCCCGGCCCACCUCUGGUUCAUUUUUAUACUAGACGGAAAAGGAAUAUUUAUGGUAUAGACAAAGAACAUAAAGAUUUGCAAGCAUUCCAUUACCCUAUUUUGUUUUUUGAUAAAGUUGACAGAUUUCAGGAUAGAUCUAUCCUAAAGGAUAGAUAGAUAGAUAGAUAGAUAGAGAUAAUUCCAGAUUGGAAUCACAGGUAUUCCUUGUUUAACAACCUACCUAGUUAACAACUGCUCAAACUUACGACCUGGGUAUACUGUUCAGUGUUAUACCGCUCAUCGGAUUUAUCACCCGUCUUUUUUUUUUCUUGUCCACUUCUGUACAUCUUGUUUCUAGAGCUUCAUAGUUUUUUUUUGUACAGUACACCUUGUCUACACAGUAUGAUGUUUUGCUAAUUGUACUGUACAGUCCUGUAGUUUUAUGUUCUGUUAUACGUUACAAUACUGCAUGAAAGAGUUAUGCAAAAUCAUCAAGUUGGAGUUUGCUUUGGCCAUUUCUUUGUUCUGAUACUGUAAUGUACAUACUGUAUACAAUUUCUCAUUUAGCGGCCAAUUCACUUAACGACCUAGUCACGACUUGGUCCUGAACAAGAAAUGUCUUUAAUUAAAACUCUGAAAGAACAAUAAAUUUAAUGAUAUAACAAUACUUCAUUUAAAUAAAAAACAAUAAACUUAAUUACUGUACCACAGAAAUAUAUGAGGUAAGAGACUAUCACAUCUGUCUUUUUCUCUAGAUCAUCCACCCCUUGGUGCUGGCUGUCUAGCACAUAGUGGUAGCCUCAUUAUUCAUCUUCCCAUUCUCAUGGCAAACUACUGUCAUGCUCCUCACUACCAGAAGUCAUCUAGAUUAUUUACAAGUGUCUCAGAUAUUUACUAGCAUCUAAAAUUUUUUCUACCAACAUGCUUACAACAUUCUAUCAUAAUCUGUGUACAAUAAAAUACAGAGGUAUAGUCACAGAUUUUGGAAUCAUGUAAAUGUAAGUUCAAGUUUCAGCUCUGUCAUUUACUAACUGUAAAAUAGUGAGCAAAUUAUUUCACAACAGUGAUUCCCAUUUUGCACAUUAAAAAAAGAACUUUUAAAAGGUGAUUAGGAAAAUUAAGUAAGAAAAUAUGACUAGUGUCAAAAUUAUUCAUCCGUUGAGCUUCAUAGCCUCACCUGUCUCCUCUAACCAUAAACAUUUGCAUAUCACCUGCUUAGCUUAAUCUCCCAGCUGCAAAAGGAAACUAGCUACAUUCUCAGGAGAGAGUAUUUGUUAAGGAUAUUACAGGGUCUCUAUCACAUGACUGAUAAGGAAGAUGUUGGUGGAAGUAUUAGAAAAUACUUCUGGGAGUAGCAGGAUAAGUGGAAUUUAAAAACUGUAAUGGACUAUUCAUUUGGAACUAUUUGGAACAAAGAGAAUCACAAGAAAGAAUCAAAAUACUAUUUUGGACUACCACUUUGACUAAAACAAGACAUUGGCAUAUUUUCUAGUCAAAAUGUAAAUUUCAUUUAACAUAAAAAAUACAAAAUAAAGUGACAGGUAAAAUGCAAGUUUAGUUUUUUUAAUUUUAAAAUAAAUCCAUGGAUAGGCAUACAGGGCCAAGAUGCAUCAUAGUAAGGAUCUUGAUUCAAAUAGGCCUGAGGUCCUUCCAUGAGGUGCUUAUCCUCAUUGUCCAUAAAAUGAAAGUCACUCCUCCAUUUGCAAGAAACUUCUUAGAGUACAGAAAGUCAGAAGCACAUAAAGAAAUAACUUAUUAAACAAAAGAGAAAACCAGACUUUAUUUCCAUUUUUUCCAUUUCUCAUCAUUUUUCCUUUCCCUUCUUUCCUUUCCCCUGCCCCUCCCACUACCCCUACCCCUUUGGACCUUUUCNNNNNNNNNNNNNNNNNNNNNNNNNNNNNNNNNNNNNNNNNNNNNNNNNNNNNNNNNNNNNNNNNNNNNNNNNNNNNNNNNNNNNNNNNNNNNNNNNNNNGGAAAAAAUAAGAACCAAGAUGCAUUAUGUAAAGGUACAAUUCCCAAUGAGAAAUGUAAUUGUGUCGUAUACCUAAAAUGUACCAAUAAAAGAAUUUAACAAAAAUAAAAAAUAAAAAAAAGAAAACCAGGC